AUGUCGCUACUUUGCGGAGACACGCGACAUUAGUGAUCGAUAGAAAAUAAAGCGUAACAAAGCGAAAGUGUAUAUAAAGCGCUGCGAAGUACAGUGAGAGCGAGGAGGAGGAAGAGGUUGAGUGUUAUCGUUCCACAAGAGCUCUCUCUCGUUCGACGUUCAAUCGCGAGAAUGGAUUUCAACAUGAAGAAGCUGGUGAAGGACGCGGGAGCCGCCCUUAGCCGAGUCGUGCAGAUGACAGAGGAAACAUUGGGUACCACGGAGAAAACGGAGUUGGAUGCACACUUGGAAGAUCUUGCAGAGAGAGCGACCACCACUAAAACGUGGACGGAGAAAAUGCUGCGGAACAUGGAAGCUGUGCUUACUCCGAAUCCUGGCAACAGGAUCGAAGACCUUUUUUAUGAAAAGAUCGAUAAGAAGAAACCCAAUAGGUUGAAUAAUUUGGAAUAUGUAGGUCAUGAUAUGAUAGAAGCUGGCAAUGAUUUCGGUCCAGGGACUGCAUACGGUAACGCGUUAGUAACAAUGGGCCAGUGUGAACAGAAAUUGGGACAGAUUGAAAAAGACUUUAUAGGAACUGCUAGCAAUUGUUACAUACAACCGUUGAGAAAGUUUUUGGAUGGAGAAAUGAAGACUGUCAGCAAGGAGCUGGCGAUAUUGGAAACUAAAAGGCUGGAUCUGGACUCGUGUAAACGUCGAGUGAGGAAAGCGAGGAACAUGCUGGGCCAACAGAGCGAGUCUGGCGUGCCACCUGAAGUGUUGCUCGAUCAGGCAGAGAGGGACCUGAGGAUAGCGCAGUCGGAGUUUGAUCGGCAGGGCGAGAUUGUGAAAUUGCUGUUGGAGGGAGUGUUGAGCUCGCAAGCUGGACACUUGCGGUGCUUGCACGAGUUCGUUGAGGCACAAACCCGCCAUUACGCGCAGUGCCACGCCGUUAUGCAGGAUCUGCAGCGCGAGCUUGCCGGUUUGUCUGGGGGUCCCUAUCAUACUAGUUCAGCAGCCACCAACGCACUGGCCGAAAACGGUCAGGACCGAGCGAGAGUGCUGUGCAGUUACGACGCAAGGGAUCCCAGCGAGAUGAGUGUCGUGCAGGACGAGUCUAUUGUCGAAGAGAUAGAAAAACGUAGCGAAGAAUUUUAAAUAUUGUGAUAUUCGCGCGAUGCACUAGUUGUAAUACAAAGGCAAUUAGAAAGACCUGUUCACUAAAACGAUAACGGUGAUUGGUAUUUGUGAGAUUCCUGAUGACGAAGAUUACUUUAUGGGAAUCCGUGGCAAUCAACGAGGAAAGGUGCCCAAAGUGUAUUUGGAAACGUUUAAUAUACUGCACUAGGACACUUAGGAAUCUAUCGUCAAUUGCAUUUUUAGAGCGAAUUUAGCGCGCUGCUCUUCUGCUUUCUCAGCUUGAUGAACAAAAUUAGCCGAAUAUACUGACCCUCUUACUUGAUUUGAAAAAUAAUUCCUUCCAAAAGGUCAAUAUUUAAUUAAAUAAAUAACUAUUCUGCAAUUAAAGUGCUAAACUCUCGUGCUUCACAAUCGCACUGGCUAUUUUUUAAUAUCAAUACAGCCGAUGAAAAAUGUUUACGGUUUACAAAUAAUAUUAAUAAUGUUUGAAUAGUAUGUACAUAAUUUAUAAAGUUUCUUAGCACACCUAUCCGUGCGAUCGCAACGACCAGUAGUCUUAGUGUACUGACCUUGUACACUGUGUGAGCAUAGAUUUGAGUCCAAGUUGGCGCUCGUGAGCUGCAAAGCGAUGCGUAAUGUUUUAAGAAUACCUUUGGCAACUUUGGCUAGUGACUACAUCUGUAGAUAACUUUAUCUCUGUUGCACAUGUACCCGUUACCUAGACUAUUAAGAAUACUAAAGAAGCAAUUUCUGAAUGUACAGCAGUGCAGCUACUUUUGCACAAGCUACCGGCUGAGCGUACAAUAAGUGUCGGAUAAUCGCGAUCGUGAAUAUGUGCGAGAUUUCUAAGAGUUUAGGAAACAAAUCUUGUCUGCAAAGACGCAUGUAUUAUAAAUCGUUUUAACAUAAAGAAGAUUUUAAUCUUCAUGUGAGUUCACAUUUUAAUGGAUAUUAUCGUUCAACUUUGAUUAUAUGCGUGAGAACUGUUUCGCAAAAUGUGUUUUACUGAUUGUAUGAUUUCGCAUUUCUCAACGAUAAAACACAUGACCAAGCAGUUGUUUCUCCUUCGAAAUAAACGGAUUUGUACCUGCAA